UUAAAUUGAAGAGUUUGAUCAUGGCUCAGAUUGAACGCUGGCGGCAGGCCUAACACAUGCAAGUCGAACGGUAGCACAGAGAGCUUGCUCUCGGGUGACGAGUGGCGGACGGGUGAGUAAUGUCUGGGAAACUGCCUGAUGGAGGGGGAUAACUACUGGAAACGGUGGCUAAUACCGCAUAACGUCGCAAGACCA
rnacentral:rRNA from 1 species